UGCCAGCCGCCGCGGUAAUACGAAGGGUGCUAGCGUUGUUCGGAAUUACUGGGCUUAAAGGGUACGUAGGCGGACCCGCAAGUAUGGUGUGAAAGCCCACGGCUCAACCGUGGAACUGCACUGUAGACUGCGGGUCUUGAGGUCGGCAGGGGCUGUCGGAACUCUAGGUGGAGCGGUGAAAUGCGUAGAUAUCUAGAGGAACGCCUAUGGCGAAGGCAGGCAGCUGGGCCGAUUCUGACGCUGAGGUACGAAAGCGUGGGUAGCGAACGGGAUUAGAUA
rnacentral:rRNA from 1 species